UGGCAGCUAGUAUAGAAUAAAACCCCUAAUUUCGACUUAGACGACCCCGAACUUGUCCCGGGGCUGCCAC
rnacentral:tRNA from 1 species